rnacentral:rRNA from 1 species
AUACGGAGGGUGCAAGCGUUACUCGGAAUCACUGGGCGUAAAGCGCGCGCAGGCGGGCUGAUAAGUUGGAUGUGAAAGCCUACGGCUCAACCGUAGAACUGCAUCCAAAACUGUCAGUCUAGAGUGUGGGAGAGGAAGAUGGAAUUAGUUGUGUAGGGGUAAAAUCCGUAGAGAUAACUAGGAAUACCAAAAGCGAAGGCAAUCUUCUGGAACACUACUGACGCUGAGGCGCGAAGGCGUGGGGAGCAAACAGGAUUAGAAACCCGAGUAGUCC